UAAGGCCUCUCUGGGGCCCCAUCUGGGACACAAAUCACAUUCGCCCUUCCUUUAGGUCCCAUAGACUCCCGGACCCCAGCGAACUCCCCCUGGAGAGCAGUUCCAGAACCCCAUUUCCCAGGGCGCCCUUACUCUCAGAAGAUUCCCAUUACUUUCCCACCCCCUCCCCAAGAAAUCCUUCCACUUCUCAAGGAUUCUUAAGCGGGGUGGUGCUGGUGACUGCCUUGCUCUUCCGAAGAAUUUAAGACACAAAUCAAGAGGAGCCUUAGGGCAGUUUUGCUUUUCCACCCUAACUAAGACACUGAGCUGAUGAGAUGGGGCCACAGCGAGGUGCGGAAAGGAAAUGCAAAUAGGAGAGGGAGGUCACUUCCGGUUUCAGAAGUCUUAAACACAGAAUCAGCUUAUAACGCCACGCUGCCUGCCCCGACCCAUCUCAGCUCCCCAGCUGCACACUGGUGCACACAGCUAGACAUCCUGGGGCCUGAAUGUUAAGAUCAAAAAGGCCAACCAUGUAUUAGCCAUCCUACAAGGCCAUGCCAAUCACCGCUUUCUCUGAUUAGCCCUCCUGGAUUUCCCAGCCAAAGACGUUCUCUUUCUCCUCUGAGCUCCUAUCUGUACCUCUCUGUUGGUACCUGGACACACAAAGCUCUACUUGGCUAGACUGAAUGGGGAUGGAUACUUAUUAAUUGAAGCCAGCACAUAAUUCAUGCUCAAUAAAUACUUACUGAAUUAUAGCUGAAAUAUCACCUGGCCUCAACUACUCCAUCUUGGCUACGCUAAAGGCUCGCCUGUCCCAGGCCCCACGACGGACUUAUUAUCGGUGCUACUGGGCAUGGACAGAGCCCAGAAGAUUUUAGGUACUGGACUGCUGAUGUCAGCGAAAUACAGAGACUGUGUUCUGAUUCAGUUUAAUUCAGCAUGCCUUUCUGAGCAACCAGCGGGGGUCUAUCACUGGACGAGGCCAGCAGAAGUGCAACAAGACGGGAGCCAGCCAACUGUACAAAAGGCAGAAUGAAGGAAAUACUCGAGAGAGGGUGUGCGAAGGAGUGGACACUCUGGGCAGGAGGCUGCUUCGUGAGAAAAGAAGCAUUUGAAGAGCUUGAGGAGUGAGAGUGGAGUGAUGCACAGUGAUGUCCUGUUCCAUGGAGGCAGAGGGAGCCGUUCGGUGAAAACAGAAGCCUCACAAUUAGCCUAGAAAGUGAAAUUCAGAAGACUGAGCCCUUAAGAUGAAGAGAUGGCCCUGUUGACUCAGUCCUGGCAGUUUUCAGCAUUUAUUCUGAAUAUCCACGGCAUUCAUGUCAUCUCUGUAAUGUUAUAUUGAUGUGUUUCAUAGAAGUCAGUAAGAUCAGAGGACUUGGCUAUUAAUUAGAAGAUUAAAAACAACCUGGCGAUUCACAGAC